rnacentral:rRNA from 1 species
GACGAACGCUGGCGGCGUGCUUAACACAUGCAAGUCGAACGAUGAACUUGGAGCUUGCUCUGGGGGAUUAGUGGCGAACGGGUGAGUAACACGUGAGUGACCUGCCCUGGACUCUGGGAUAACUUCGAGAAAUCGGAGCUAAUACCGGAUAGGACCUUGCACCGCAUGGUGUGGGGUGGAAAGUUUUUCGGUUUGGGAUGGACUCGCGGCCUAUCAGCUUGUUGGUGAGGUAAUGGCUCACCAAGGCGUCGACGGGUAGCCGGCCUGAGAGGGUGACCGGCCACACUGGGACUGAGACACGGCCCAGACUCCUACGGGAGGCAGCAGUGGGGAAUAUUGCACAAUGGGCGCAAGCCUGAUGCAGCAACGCCGCGUGCGGGAUGACGGCCUUCGGGUUGUAAGCCGCUUUUAGUAGGGAAGAAGCCUUCGGGUGACGGUACCUGCAGAAAAAGGACCGGCUAACUACGUGCCAGCCGCCGCAGUAAGAC